CCGCAGUGGCGCCCGAGCGCGCCGCCUCCCGAUUGACUGCUAGCGCUCUCGGCUUGUCUCGCGCACUGUAGCUGAGCCAAUGGAGUUACUCGUAGUCGAGAGGCCGGCAUCACUGGAGUGGUGGCGCAGCUGUUUCCUCCGAUGGAGUCUCUUGUCGCCUAUGCUGGAGUGCAAUGGUGCAAUCUCGGCUCACUGCAACUCUGCCUCCGUGGUUCAAGCGAUUCUCCUGCCUCAGCCUCCUGAGUAGCUGGGACUACAGACACCGGCCAUCACGCCCAGCUAAUUUUUGUAUUUUUAGUAGAGAUGGGGUUUCACCAUGUUGGCCAGGCUGGUCUUGAACUCCUGACUUUAGAUGAUCUGCCCGCCUCCACCUCCCAAAGUGCUGGGAUUACAGGUGUGAGCCACGGCACCUGGCCUGAGAAUCAUUUUUCUUAAUUACUUGAUUCCAUGCUUGUAUCUUCCACUUGACUUGUAUCUUCCAGUUGGCUUGUCAAAAUGCAUGGAGAAACAAAAGUUCAUAUACCUUUUGACCUUUUCUAAGAAACUUGUAAGGAAAUAGAGAUAGAAUCAAAGCUUUAUAAUCACAGUGUAAUUUUGUUCUUGUGAAAAAUUGGAAAUAACAAAUAUCUAAUGGUAGAAGAAUGGUUUUAUAAAUUAUGACACAUCCCAUCAUUAUAUUUUUCAGCCUUUUAAAAGGAACGUUUUCAAAGAGUAGUGGCAUAGGCUGUUGAAUGACAUAGGAAAGUGGUUACCAUUUUGUGUUAAAUGAAAGAAGUAUAGAAUAGUCAUUGGGAAAAUGCAAAUUAAAACCACCGUCAUUGGAAAAAUGCAAAUUAAAACCACAGUGAGAUACUACACAACCUCUUACUCAGAAUGUCAAAACAAACAAUACAUUUCCUGGCAAGGAUGCAAAACAAGGAGAAACCUUAGUCUUGCUGGUGAGACUGCAAAUAGUACAGCCACCUAGAAGACAAUUUGACAGUUUAUUAUAAAAUUAAUCAUAUCCUUAUCACAUGAUCUGGCAAGCCCACUCUAGAUUGAAAUUUACCACCAAGAUAAGAGAGUUCCAGUAGUUUUUCAUCCUUGUCAGCACUUGGCAUUAUCAGUUAAAAUAUUUAGCCUUUAUAUGAGGUAUGAUGG
rnacentral:lncRNA from 10 species